CACGUAGGGGGCGAGCGUUGUCCGGAUUUAUUGGGCGUAAAGAGCUCGUAGGCGGCUCAGUAAGUCAGGUGUGAAAACUCCAGGCUCAACCUGGAGACGCCACUUGAUACUGCUGUGGCUAGAGUCCGGUAGGGGAGCAUGGAAUUCCUGGUGUAGCGGUGAAAUGCGCAGAUAUCAGGAGGAACACCAGUGGCGAAGGCGGUGCUCUGGGCCGGAACUGACGCUGAGGAGCGAAAGCAUGGGGAGCGAACGGG
rnacentral:rRNA from 1 species